GUAGGUGAACCUGCGGAAGGAUCAUUAAUGAAACUUCAAGUCGGCUGUUCUGUGCUGGUGGCAACACAUGUGCACGUUCAGUCGCAAUCCACACACCUGUGCACUUUGACUCUGAGCACCGCCGGUAACACGGCAGAAGGUUUGAGAUGAAGGUCUUAACCCCGGUACUCGAGUAGUUUACACACUCUGUAUGUAAUAGAAUGUAACUGUACAAUGUACAACUAUAAACAACUUUCAACAACGGAUCUCUUGGCUCUCGCAUCGAUGAAGAACGCAGCGAAAUGCGAUAAGUAAUGUGAAUUGCAGAAUUCAGUGAAUCAUCGAAUCUUUGAACGCACCUUGCACCCUUUGGUAUUCCGAAGGGUACACCCGUUUGAGUGUCAUUGUAAUCUCACUCCAACACCUUUAUUGAUGUURGAUGUGGACUUGGAUGUUGUCGUGUUCAAYGACUCRUCUUAAAUGCCUGAGUGUACCCUGCUUUGCAGCGUAUCAGUGUGAUAAACAUCUUCACUGUUAAGUCUUUCGGGACACGCUUGUGUUGUAGGCUCUAUGCUUUCCAACCGUCCUCUGGACAAUCUCUGACAAUUUGACCUCAAAUCGGGUGGGACUACCCGCUGAACUUAAGCAUAUCAAUAAGCGGAGGAAAAGAAACUAACAAGGAUUCCCCUAGUAACGGCGAGUGAAGAGGGAAAAGCUCAAAUUUUGAAUCUGGUGUCUUUGACUCCCGAGUUGUAAUCUAGAGAAGUGUUUUCCGCGUUGGACCGUGCAAAAGUUCCCUGGAACGGGGCGUCAUAGAGGGUGAGAAUCCCGUAUAUGGCACGGACUACCAUUGCUAUGUGAUACACUCUCAACGAGUCGAGUUGUUUGGGAAUGCAGCUCAAAAUGGGUGGUAAAUUCCAUCUAAAGCUAAAUAUUGGCGAGAGACCGAUAGCGAACAAGUACCGUGAGGGAAAGAUGAAAAGCACUUUGGAAAGAGAGUGAAACAGUACGUGAAAUUGUUGAAAGGGAAGCGUUUGAAGUCAGUCACGUCUGUCGGAAUUCAGCCUGGCUUCUGCCUGGUGUAUUUUCUGGCUGACGGGUCAGCAUCAAUUUCGACCGAGGGAAAAAGACUUGGGGAAUGUGGCUGUCUUYGGGCAGUGUUAUAGACCCUUGUUGUAUAUCUCGGUUGGGAUUGAGGAACGCAGCGCGCC
rnacentral:rRNA from 1 species